UCACAGAGAAAUAAUCAUAAUCUGAAACUGAUGCCAAAGGAUACUGUUAGAAACAAGCUGGAGAAAACAGCUGUAUCAGCGAACUGCCAGAACUUUAAGACUACAUGGCCUAUUUCUUGUAGCAGCCUGGCUGCUAAUCAGCCUCUUCUCUACCCUCUUCAUGUCAACGGAGGACUCACAGAAGAUACCCAAGCCCAGAGGUGGUCAUUACAGUCCUCCAUAUAGGGCUUUCAGAGGGAGGUAGCUCUACAGACUCCAAGUUGCAGAGGGUGGGGUAGAACUGGAAGCCUGUAUGUAGCAUUCUACAGCUGCAGGAAGGGUCUUAGCUCCAUGUCCCAUGCAUGCUGUUAUUCAACGUCUGGGCUUGGCUAAUGAGCCAGAAGAUUUGUAUGUCUGAGAUGAAAUUUUUCACCUUAUCUGUGGAGGCCCA